GAACAAACGCUGGCGGCGUGUCUUAAGCAUGCAAGUUGAGCGGCAAGGAGGAGAGAUCCUCCCUAGAGCAGCGGACUGGUGAGUAACGCGUGGGUAAUCUAUCUUAGGCAUGGGGAUAGUCACUAGAAAUAGUGGGUAAUACCGAAUAAGUUCCAUAAGGGGAGGACUUAUGGAAGAAAGGUGCUACGGCACUGGCCUUAGGUGAGCUCGCGUCCCAUUAGCUAGUUGGUGAGGUAAAGGCCCACCAAGGCGAUGAUGGGUAGCCGGCCUGAGAGGGUGUACGGCCACACUGGGACUGAGAUACGGCCCAGACUCCUACGGGAGGCAGCAGCUAAGAAUAUUCCGCAAUGGACGGAAGUCUGACGGAGCGACGCCGCGUGGAUGAAGAAGGCCGAAAGGUUGUAAAGUUCUUUUGCUAGGGGAGAAUAAGUGUGGGAGGGAAUGCCUGCACGAUGACAAGGACUAGCGAAUAAGUCCCGGCCAACUACGUGCCAGCAGCCGCGGUAACACGUAGGGGGCGAGCGUUGUUCGGAAUUACUGGGCGUAAAGGGCAUGUAGGCGGCUUGGUAAGCCUGGCGUGAAAGUCUGCAGCUUAACUGUAGGGAUGCGUUGGGAACUGCUUAGCUUGAGUUACGGAGAGGGAGCUGGAAUUCCUGGUGUAGGGGUGAAAUCUGUAGAUAUCAGGAAGAACACCGAUGGCGAAGGCGGCCUCCUGGACCACUCCUGACACUCAGACGCGAAAGCUAGGGUAGCAAACGGGAUUAGAGACCCCGGUAGUCCUAGCCCUAAACGAUGUAGACUUGGCGUCGGUGGUUUAAUCGCCAUCGGUGUCGUAGCUAACGCGAUAAGUCUACCGCCUGGGGACUACGGCCGCAAGGUUAAAACUCAAAGGAAUUGACGGGUCCCCGCACAAGCAGCGGAGCGUGUGGUUUAAUUCGAUGCUACACGAAGAACCUUACCUGGGUUUGACAUAGAGGUAGUAGGGAAGCGAAAGCGGACCGACCCUUCGGGGAGCCUCUACAGGUGUUGCAUGGCUGUCGUCAGCUCGUGUCGUGAGAUGUUCGGUUAAGUCCGCUAACGAGCGCAACCCUCGCUGUGUGUUACAAGUGUCACACGGUACUGCCGAUAUUAAGUCGGAGGAAGGUGGGGAUGACGUCAAGUCAGCAUGACCUUUAUAUCCAGGGCUACACACACGCUACAAUGGCCAGUACAAUGGGUUGCCAAGCCGCGAGGCGGAGCCAAUCCUAAAAAGCUGGCCUCAGUUCAGAUUGCAGUCUGCAACUCGACUGCAUGAAGUCGGAGUUGCUAGUAACCGCAGGUCAGCUAUACUGCGGUGAAUACGUUCCCGGGCCU
rnacentral:rRNA from 1 species